CUAAUCUUUAAAAGUAACCUAACAAAAACUGCUGGCAUAACUCUUAACUUCUAACCCUAAAUCUAUCCUAACCAAAGCCCUACCACUAAACCUUUCCGUAGCCUUCACAAUUACUCAAACCCUAGCCCAGAAAUCUAAUACUAAUCCCCAAACUAACCUUAAUUGUAAAACAUAAGCUCUACACCAGGACCUAACCCCCUAUACCUACCCCUACCCCUAAAUCAUAACGCUUUGUCUAACACUGAACCCUAACCCUAAACCCUAACCUUGAACCCUAAAUCCUAACCUGGAAUCUAAUCACUAAAAUAAACUCUGACCCUCACAACAAAAUUUAAACCUAACUUCUAAUCCUAAACCCUAAUGUCUAAACCUAACCCAAAGUAAGAGUGGCAGGGUUCAUCAGUUACCUGGGGUGCCAGCUAAGUCCUGGUCUGCCCAGGAAGAUUCAGCCAAGUGUUUUUGUGUCACUCUGUCAGGUUGUGUACUGAGUGUGAGUUGGGGGAAAUCAGCAGCCCAGGGGCUAUUUUACGUCCAGUGCAGGAAAAGUUCAGUUGAAAAGAUCACAGUAGAUGACCUCACUUCCUUAUGAUGACACUUUGCUCAGAACCCUGUUGCCAAGCAACACAUAGCACCACUAACUGAUGCCUGCUCACUUGUCUGGAGAUAUAGGACAUGUGAGGAUGUUUUCUUGCUGUCUCCCUACUUCCCAAGGCUCAAGCCUCAGGAGAUCUCUCAGGAGAGGAGUCAGCCGCAUCUGGAGAAACUGGGUCCCACGUCUCACAUGAUGCCUGUGGCCAUUUUCUCAGAGGAGUCAAAGUGGGAAACACAGUAGCCGAGGGCAGGUACUGUUUGACUAGUGACGGCUGGCACCGUCACAAGUGGCGCCCGAACAGGGACCUGAGCAUGGAGGACAAGGUGAAGGACGCCACCAGAUUGUGAGCUCGGAUAAACUGCUUCACGACUGUUAGGAGACCCUGAUGCCGGACUGCUGCUGGUCAAACAGCUUGCCUAUGAAAAUGCUAACUCCCCCUGCCAGGCUGCUAUUCGUCCUUUCAGAAAAAAAAGGGGACCUAGAAUGAAGACAGUGUGCGAUGGUUGCCGGAAUGGCUCGUGCACCAGGUGGAUGUCUCUUCAACAGAAUCUCUUCCUCCUCAUAAUGAUGGCCACAAUGACCAGAUGUGAGAUGUUCUGGGCUUAUGUCCCUGACCCUCCGCUUCUCUAUCCUGUUACCUGGGAAGACCCACCAAUUUCUGUGUACUGUUCGACUAGUGACGGCUGGCACCGUCACAAUGAACAAAUCUUCAGUAGCACGGGAGCUAGCACAAAGAAUCAACAACUGGGAUCUCAUCUUAUUAAAAAGUUUCUGGACUGCAAGAGAAACCACCAACAGAGCUAAGAGACAACCUACAAUGUAGGAAAAAAUUUUUAGCAGCUGUACCUCAGAGAAAGAUCUACUAUCAAGAAUAUAUAAAGAAUGUACAUGAAAAUCACUCUAAGCCAUGCUGAAGGAUUUGAUUGUGGAGGUCACAGUGCUCAUGGUGGUGUUGAUGCCACAUGGGACGUGUGUGUCCCUAAUGAGGCCAGAUGUAAACUUCACUUCCCAUAAAGAACACCCUCUGAACAUCUCCUAUGAUUGCAUAAAGGAAAUCUUUCCCUUGCAGUCUGGGUCUAAAUUUUAGUUUCUUUUUCUUUCUUACAAACCCACCACUCAGGGAUUUGCUGCUUUACUGUUGUCUUUCCCAAGCCCUGGGUUUUGGGGAGAACAUUGUCUUCCUGUCUGUGCGGUUUUCAUUCCUGCCUCUUGGGUUGGUGACUCUCCAAUCCCACUGUGCUGUAGAGAAAACUGCUGUAGAUGUAGGUGCUCCUGGAUGAUUCAAUACUAGCACUGAGGGAC
rnacentral:lncRNA from 1 species